UCCAUACUAGAGUUACAAUUUAUAGUAA
rnacentral:sRNA from 1 species